rnacentral:rRNA from 1 species
UGGGCAACCUGCCCUCAGCUCUGGGAUAACCCCGGGAAACCGGGGCUAAUACUGGAUAUCAACUUGUGCCUCGCAUGGGGUGUUGUUGAAAGUUUUUCGGCUGGGGAUGGGCCCGCGGCCUAUCAGCUUGUUGGUGGGGUGAUGGCCUACCAAGGCGACGACGGGUAGCCGGCCUGAGAGGGCGACCGGCCACACUGGGACUGAGACACGGCCCAGACUCCUACGGGAGGCA